rnacentral:rRNA from 1 species
AUUGAACGCUGGCGGCAUGCUUUACACAUGCAAGUCGAACGGUAACAGGGUGCUUGCACCGCUGACGAGUGGCGAACGGGUGAGUAAUGCGUCGGAACGUGCCGAGUAGUGGGGGAUAACGCAGCGAAAGUUGUGCUAAUACCGCAUACGUACUGAGGUAGAAAGUGGGGGACCUUCGGGCCUCACGCUAUUCGAGCGGCCGACGUCUGAUUAGCUAGUAGGUGAGGUAAAGGCUCACCUAGGCGACGAUCAGUAGCGGGGCUGAGAGGAUGAUCCGCCACACUGGGACUGAGACACGGCCCAGACUCCUACGGGAGGCAGCAGUGGGGAAUUUUGGACAAUGGGCGAAAGCCUGAUCCAGCCAUGCCGCGUGUCUGAAGAAGGCCUUUGGGUUGUAAAGGACUUUUGUCAGGGAGGAAAUCCCUAGUGCUAAUAACACUGGGGGAUGACAGUACCUGAAGAAUAAGCACCGGCUAACUACGUGCCAGCCGCCGCCGUAA